ensembl:lncRNA novel transcript, sense intronic to PIK3C3
AGACUUUGUAUAGUUCAAAGUGAAUUUUGAAUGUGGUUCAGUGCAGGAAAUAUAUUCCAAUGUUUUUAGUUUAAAAAAUGCCUCGACUGUCAUGAAGACUUGUCCAUUGUAUAUUUUGAGUUUAUUAUGCCUUCAAAUUGAAAACUUUGGGUUCUCUUACAUAACUGUCCAAUCUUUCAAUGGCUGAUGGAGCAUUUUUUAAUAAUCAAGUAACAUUUUUCUUAUUCUGCAAAAUACAAUACCUUUGUUUUCUGUACUCCUUUGCCAGCCCAAGCAGGUUUAGAGUCUAAGAUUCUGCUUUAGAUUAAAGUGGUUUUGAAUUUCAA